CAUAUUUUAGAGAUAGCAUACACCAUUUUUAUUGCAAAAUACCAAAGUGUCACCUUAUCUUAAUAUAUAUGAUUUAUUGAUUCAUUUUGUAAUCAUUCAGCGUAAUUCUGAUAUAAUAAACAGUCUAGUUCUAGUAUUUGAUUUUGGCGCCUAACCGAAAACGUUACUCAAAGCAAACUCAAGAUGACAGCUCUUCUUUAUUGUCCGGGUACGACCGCCGGCUAUAUAGAUAUGAAAGAGCGCUGUGCAGAUCGUAUUGUGCCAGUAUUAAUAUUAAUGUAUCACACAAUCCCGUGUCUCAACAUUCUCGAUAGAUUUUGCAUCAGAAAGAUUUCAAGGUCAAGCUAGUUUGGCAUAAAUUUAAGAACACAGUUCAACAAUAAUUCAAAAUAAUGUGAUUAUACAGUAAAAAAUAGCCCUUUUUCAAAAAACAUCCUCCUAUUGCUUAAGUUCAUUUAACAAAACAUCACAAUUCGGUUUCAUUAAGAACAAUGAAUCACAUGUUGAAUUUUAAACCAAUAAAUACGAUUUGCUAGGUGCGUGUUCAUUUGUAUAUUUUGUAUAUCAGAAUAUAUACUGAUAACAUACCAGUAUAUUCACAGAUAAAAUACAAUUUUACACACUGAUGACAUAUGCUACAUGCCAAUAAGCAGCACAGGGUAGCAGACAGCUCCUCACAGAGACAGAUUGGCUAGGGUGAUCUAAGCUGGGUCUAGCUAGGCUACGCUAGGCUAGGCUACACUACACUGGGUCUGGCUAAGCUAGGCUUGGUCGAGCUAGGCUAGGCUACACUACACACUACUACUUCUACCGCAUAGGGAAGUCAAAUGGAGGCUGAUCUGUUCCAUUCUGAUUUGGGAUCAGAAUGGAACAGAAUCCAUGUGACGGUGCUGUUUACACUGUUCAGAAACGUGAGUCACAUGUGAGCAGAUACAAGAUCUGUUCUACUUUGGCCUCAGUGGGAACGAGGUCUCAUGUAGGGCGUCAGUGCACCAAGUCGAACACGGCAUAAGACUUGCUUCACAAUCUGCUGCUUAGCUGAGGCUAGUUUUGGCUUUGCUAGGCUAGGCUGACUUUGGCUGGCCUAUCUUAGACUCUGCUGGGACUGGUUUGGCUAGGUCUGCGCUAGGGCCUGGGGGGGCUUGUAGUGUGUCCGUCCGUAGACACUGUGGUACUAUGCUAGCAUAGUUAGCCACGAGGUGGUGUUAGCAAUCAUGAUAGCACACAAGCCAUUCGCCCGUUCCUGUUAAGGGUCUGUGGGAAGCAAUGCAUCAUGGGUAUAAGUCAUCCGGGGCCUCAGUACUUCCUGGAGAGCCGCUUGGGUCUGCGGGGGCUCUGGCGACGCUGGCUCUGCUUGGCCACGCGAGG
ensembl:lncRNA